rnacentral:rRNA from 1 species
AGCGCAGGCGGGAAGACAAGUUGGAAGUGAAAUCUAUGGGCUCAACCCAUAAACUGCUUUCAAAACUGUUUUUCUUGAGUAGUGCAGAGGUAGAUGGAAUUCCCGGUGUAGCGGUGGAAUACGUAGAUAUCGGGAGGAACACCAGUGGCGAAGGCGGUCUACUGGGCACCAACUGACGCUGAGGCUCGAAAGCAUGGGUAGCAAACA